GGACAGAUGCAAGUUGAUAUACAAUGGGGUUUCAUGUCCCAUGCUUAUUUGCAGAUAAAGUAUCAACAUUUGGCUACAGCGUCUUUCCAGUGAGAUUUAAGUUUAAGUUAUCUGUGCACUUUCAAGGUGGGCUUUUCUAAUCUUAUUCCUCUAACUGUAUGCAGUUGGAAACAAAUCCUAUGCGAGAUGCUGAACAACAAUGGGGAGAGAACUUGCCUACCAAUCAAGAAAACCUUUCUUGGGCCAUUAGUGACUAUCCCCAAAGCGAUUGAAUUUCACUCUCUCCAACCCAUUCCUAGCUGGCACCUGCAUGUCUGACAUUCACAUUUUGGUGUGCAAAGAAAACUGAUGCAGGGAACAACAGCAUAUUAGCACCAAAAAUACAUCCACGGACUCAAACAUGUCAUCAGUUGUAAAGAGGAAGAAAAGGUCUACUUAAGUGACACCCAUGCCUGUCAGAGCCACACUUCACAGCCUCUGAUCACAG
rnacentral:lncRNA from 1 species